UACGGGGGGGGCAAGCGUUGUUCGGAAUUACUGGGCGUAAAGGGCUCGUAGGCGGCCAACUAAGUCGGAUGUGAAAUCCCCAGGCUCAACCUGGGAACUGCAUCCGAUACUGGAUGGCUUGAAUUCGGGAGAGGGAUGCAGAAUUCCAGGUGUAGCGGUGAAAUGCGUAGAUAUCUGGAGGAAUACCGGUGGCGAAGGCGGCAUCCUGGACCGACAUUGACGCUGAUGAGCGAAAGCGUGGGGAGCAAACAGG
rnacentral:rRNA from 1 species